rnacentral:miRNA from 1 species
UGUGUAGAGGUGAGAAAGAUACC